UCUUCUGCCCAGUCCACGGUGCUCAAACACAGACUGUUGCUUUCAGUUACUCUGAAGAUGGAGUCUGCUUAUUAUAUCGGAAAUCAUAACCCGAAUUUGGCAAUAUGAGCAAUAGAAAGGCAAGGCUGCCAUUGAAACCCCAAAUGAACCCCGAGAAUCAUAUGUUGAGACCGGCCGCUCUCAGGCAUUUGCAGAGGGCAGUCACAAUCAAGGGCGAACUCGGCAAUGUCGAACCUAAUCAAGUGCUCCACAAGGCCCAGUCAAGGAAGAUGCAGGCAAAUAGAGGUUGCUUCAUGUACCUUUUAAAAAUUGUAGUUAAAUUUGACGACUUUUUCAUUUAACAAAAUUAUGCGACAGACCUGCAUUCAUUCAGGUAUUCAAGUCACAGUUAUUGAAAAAGCAAGCAUGCUAUCAGAAAUAUAAAGAACUCUUUGAAUCUGAUACUUGUUCUUUCCACAACACAUGUAUUCAAAUAUAUGGAAAUGU